rfam:Picea glauca, whole genome shotgun sequence.
AUAAUGGUGUCUUUAGACACCACCUUUUUCUUGGAAUAACUAGCACU